rnacentral:rRNA from 1 species
UACACACCGCCCGUCGACACCAUGGGAGUUGGCUGCACCAGAAGCCGGUAGUCUAACCGCAAGGGGGACGCCGUCCACGGUGUGGUCAAUGACUGGGGUG